AAUGUACUCCCUCCGUUCGGAAAUACUUGUCUUAAAUAUGGUUGUAUCUAGAACUAAAACAAGCCUAGAUACAACCAUGUCUAGGACAAGUAUUUCCAAACGGAGGGAGUACAUA
rfam:Triticum urartu cultivar G1812 contig343468, whole genome shotgun sequence.